AUGCCCCUAGACUUCACCAAGCACUUCGUCGCGGUGCCGGCGGAGUUCAAGCUGAGGAACAACACUGGCUGCUCCUGCAGGGUGACGGUGAAGCUAAUGAACGGCAGGGUGACCCUGGAUCAGGGUUGGGCCACCUACGCCGCCGUUCAUCAGAUCAAGACCGGCUACAUGGUGACGUUCAAGCUCCUGACUCCCGACACCCUUAAGGUCGUCAUCUUCGACGACGAUGGCAUUGAGGUGGUCAACAAGUGCGGGAAGCACGACGAAGCCUUCGCCGCCAGGGACUAG
rnacentral:rRNA from 1 species